GACGAACGCUGGCGGCGGGCUUAACACAUGCAAGUCGAACGGAAAGGCCCUGCGUUUGUGCUGUUCUGGAGGGGCGAACGGGGGCGUAACACGUGAGUAACCUGCCCUAGACUUUGGGAUAACUUCAGGAAACUGGAGCUACUACCGUAUAGCAUCUCCUGCUGCAUGGUGGGGGUGGGAAAGUUUCGCCGGUUGGGGAUGGACUCGCGGCUUAUCAGCUUGUUGGUGGGGUAGUGGCUUGCCCAGGAGUUGACAGGUAGCUGGCCGGAGAGGGUGACAGGCCACACUGGGACUGAGAGGCGGCACAGACUGCGACGGUAGGAAGCAGUGGGGAAUCUUGCACAAUGGGCGGAAGGCUGAUGAAGCAACGCUGCGUGCGGGAUGACGGUUUGUGGGUUGAAAACCGCUUCCGCCUGUGACGAAGCGUGAGUGACGGUAAUGGGUAAAGAAGCACCGGCUAACUACGUG
rnacentral:rRNA from 1 species